UGCAGAUCAGGGAGCAGAGAAACAUGAAGGCACAGUCUGGAAAUUAUGAUGCCUGUCUACAACACCUUGCCUGUCUACAAGAUAUAAACAAAGAUGAUUAUAAAAUAAUUUUGAAUACAGCAGUAGCUGAGUUUUUUAAAAGUAACCAAACAACAACAGAUAAUUUGAGACAAACACUUAACCAGCUGAAGAAUCAGGUCCACUCAGCUGUUGAAGAAAUGGAUGGAUUAGAUGAUGUUGAAAACAGCAUGUUGUACUAUAAUCAAGCAGUCAUUCUUUAUCAUCUGCGGCAGUAUACAGAAG
rnacentral:ncRNA from 3 species